rnacentral:rRNA from 1 species
GACGAACGCUGGCGGCGUGCUUAACACAUGCAAGUCGAACGGUAAGGCCCUUCGGGGUACACGAGUGGCGAACGGGUGAGUAACACGUGGGUGAUCUGCCCUGCACUUCGGGAUAAGCCUGGGAAACUGGGUCUAAUACCGGAUAGGACCCUGGGAUGCAUGUCCUGGGGUGGAAAGCUUUUGCGGUGUGGGAUGGGCCCGCGGCCUAUCAGCUUGUUGGUGGGGUGAUGGCCUACCAAGGCGACGACGGGUAGCCGGCCUGAGAGGGUGACCGGCCACACUGGGACUGGGAUACGGCCCGGACUCCUGCGGGAGGCAGCAGUGGGGAAUAUUGCAGAAUGGGCGCAAGCCUGAUGCAGCGACGCCGCGUGAGGGAUGACGGCCUUCGGGUUGUAAACCUCUUUCAGCACCGACGAAGCGCAAGUGACGGUAGGUGCAGAAGAAGGACCGGCCAACUACGUGCCAGCAGCCGCCGUAA